GGUUCUACAAAAAAUAUAAAUUCAGAAAGAUAAAUCCAUGUUUUGUAUCGAGUGAGAUAUGACUCUUGCAUGUGUGUAGAUCUUUGUUUUGGUUGCACCGUGUGACUUCUACACGUGGCCGCGUCGCAUAGAAACGACUAGUUCCUACAAAGAUGCAGGGAAAUCCUAGAUGUGCGGCAGCUAAGAUGGCGAGGAACCUCCUGGAAUGGCACAAAACAUGGAUUUAAUGUUUCUGAGUUUUCGCUGUUUUUUGUAGAACCACCUGUAACUGGAAUAAUACAUUUCUAAGACACUCUUUUCACCAAAUCGACAACGAAGAAAGUAUCUCCAAAUACAGGAGGUCUGCCGCCAGAUGAACUCUGUCUUCAAGGAGCUUCUCUCUCGACAAUCCCUCCCUCCCUACUCCUCCACCUCCUCGGUCACCUCAUCCCCCUCUUCCCACCCUCCGCCACAGCAGAAGAAAGGAGGGAUUGGAUGGAGAAGGGAAAAGCCUGUUUAGAUCAGGCCAAUUGGACUGACAGAAAGUGAGAGGGGACCAGGAUAGAUGGAUGGAUGAAUGAAUAUAUUAUUGCGGAAAUGAACGGGGCAGAGACGAGACUCGGACGAGAAGACACACAGAGGGGGGGGGCGAAGAAGAGCGACUCAGAAGACACACAGAGGGGGGCGAUGGAGAGUGACUCGGGCUGAUUGAAUGAUUGUAGGUGUGGGAUGACAGGUUGUGACAGCAGCCUUAGUGUGAUUUACAGAUGGCUGGAUUAAAUGAACCACAGUCAGUUCACUGUACUGUACGUGUCUGCUGAGCUGCUCAGACAGCAGCCUCCAUUGUGGAGAAUAGACAGUCAGACAGACAACGUUUGAAUUGUACUGUGAAGCCUUUUGUUAGUGUGUUUGAUACAACACAACCCUAACCCCCACUCUGAUUUUUCACUCGACGGCUGUAUCUCUAUUCUCCACAUGCCCACCCAUGAAUUUAAAAGCAUUGGAUUGUUGGACGCAUUAGCUGGUGUGUGUACAAGGGCACACUAGGACACAUGUUGAGAAUCAGGACCCAGGACACUGUUAACUAAUCAACAGCAUGAGUAGAUUUAUCAUAAGGUAUUUUACCCACAAUAACUUGGAAUGUGCACUGCUGUAUCCUCAUGCAUGUGGAUGGAUAAACCAUACUACUGUUAUUUUUAUAGAAUCAGUGAUAUACAUCAAGUACUUGCCAAAAAUGUGUGCGAGGAUAAACUAUAUGCUCCAAGAAAGUGCUUUCCAUAAAUGUUGAACUUUCAAAAACCAUGC
rnacentral:lncRNA from 1 species